rnacentral:lncRNA from 1 species
UUUUUUUCGUAUCUAUUACAUUUAUCGACUAUAAAGCAUAUUAAUCGACUAUAAUGAAACAUAGUCGAUUAAGGAACUGACUACUAAAAAUAAAAGAACACAACUACAUAAACAAGAAAAUGAAUAUUUUUUUUACAAAACAAAUAAUAUACAUAAAUUGUAAUUGAUUUAUACAAAUCGAAAUCAGUACACAAAAAUCCAAAAACGAAUUAAAAAAAUGAAAUCGAGUAACCUUAAUCGACUACCAAAGCAGUCCAUUAACUUAAUUGACUAUGAUGAAGCAUAGUCGAUUAAGGAUCCAGCCUGCGCGAAUUUCUCUAGCCGCAUUGUCCUCCGCUCUUUGUACCAAAAAAACCCUACAUCUGCACAUCAAACCAUCACCACCCCACUUCGAUAUUCUGACGGUUUUUUAUUACAAAUAAAGUAAAUCACAACCCGCACCACCAACCAAAGCUGAACCACCACCCAUCAAAAUCCGAUUCUGGCAACAAAUCGAUAAUUUUACCUCUUUUUCGCCGCGAAUGUAGCAAUCAUGGUAAUCGAAUUCAAAAUCUCUAUCAAAAUCAUCAUGAUCGUUAGGGCUUCUGUUCAGAUCUGCAAAAUUCCUAAUUCCGCGAAGGGUAGAGAUCGGGAGAAGUAGGAAGAGAUGUCUCAAAUGGGGGAACCAAAAGGCGGAGAAGAUGGAUUAAUCCCAACGGUGACGACGACGACAAAUUUAACGGGAUUGGCGCCGUUGUUCUGGCGGUGAAGCCGGUGGUUGGUUCUUCAUCUUCCGAUCAAGAGAGAAUAAACUAGAGAAUUAUGUGGAAAAAGUAUAAUUGAAAAAAAAAACAGACGCAUGAGAAGAA